GGUCUGGUGGUCUAGUGGUAUGAUUCUCGCUUAGGGCUCACCCUACAGCAACGCUUGCGAGAGGUCCCGGGUUCAAUCCCCGGCCAGACCC
rnacentral:tRNA from 2 species